CUGCAUGGCUACCUGCCUGCAUAACUGCCUGCAUAGCUGCCUGCAUAGCUGCCUGCCUGCAUAGCUGCCUGCCUGCCUGCAUAGCUGCCUGCCUGCCUGCCUGCCUGCCUGCCUGCCUGCCUGCCUGCCUGCCUGCCUGCCUGCCUGCCUGCCUGCCUGCCUGCCUGCCUGCCUGCCUGCCUGCCUGCCUAGCUGCCUAGCUGCCUAGCUGCCUGCCUAGCUGCCUAGCUGCCUGCCUAGCUGCCUGCCUAGCUGCCUGCCUAGCUGCCUGCGUAGCUGCCUGCGUAGCUGCCUGCGUGGCUGCCUGCCUGCGUGCGUGUGUGUGGGGCUGCCUGAGAACAGAAACGUGGUCGACUUUAACGUGCACUUGUAUGUGAGAGGGGCAAAUUAAAGACAGCACUGCACCAACCAGUCACUGUGUAUCAAUGAGCCUGCCUGCAAAGUGAUUUUAGCAGUUUGUUUGAAAAUACUGUACAUUAAAUAUGUGUUACAGUGCCGAAAAGGAAUUUGGAAUCUCUUGUCUUUCUUUCAUCGACGUAUAUAUAUGUAUAUCCGCUUCAAACGACAAGAUGGAGGGAUAGCUAUGUUUGUAAUUAUGUGCUCUGUGUUGCAUUGUUAUUUUGUGUUCAUGCAAAAGCGCUUUAUGAAUAAAGAUGUAUUUUAUUGUGUUGUAUUA